AGUGAACGCUGGCGGUAGGCCUAACACAUGCAAGUCGAACGGCAGCACAGUAAGAGCUUGCUCUUACGGGUGGCGAGUGGCGGACGGGUGAGGAAUACAUCGGAAUCUACUUUUUCGUGGGGGAUAACGUAGGGAAACUUACGCUAAUACCGCAUACGACCUACGGGUGAAAGCAGGGGAUCUUCGGACCUUGCGCGAUUGAAUGAGCCGAUGUCGGAUUAGCUAGUUGGCGGGGUAAAGGCCCACCAAGGCGACGAUCCGUAGCUGGUCUGAGAGGAUGAUCAGCCACACUAGAACUGAGACACGGUCCAGACUCCUACGGCAGGCAGCAGUGGGGAAUAUUGGACAAUGGGCGCAAGCCUGAUCCAGCCAUACCGCGUGGGUGAAGAAGGCCUUCGGGUUGUAAAGCCCUUUUGUUGGGAAAGAAAAGCAGCAGGUUAAUACCCCGCUGUUCUGACGGUACCCAAAGAAUAAGCACCGGCUAACUUCGUG
rnacentral:rRNA from 1 species